UCUUUGAGGGUUAUGACUCCUUCUUUCGAUUUGGUCAUUGUGUCUGUGAGGAUGCGCUCAUUUCAUACUUCACUUCACUAUUUGUUACUAAAUAAGAAGUCACCAUCAAAUCCCCUUCGCUCGUGAAUGUGUUCCUCUUCGUAAAGAGAUGAUUUUACCAUGCAUAUAUUGUGUGUAAUUUCUUUCUCUUCCUCGUUUAUCUUGGUUUACUAUUGUGGUGAUCUCAACAACAUCUUAGCAUGUUUGUUUGCCCCAUGUAUGCAGUCCCACCAAAUACAAUCAACGUUCACCUCUGCCAUUGUCUUCUCCAUUCUAAUUUCCAUUUUCCAUCGCCUUCUCCAUUCUAACUUCCAUGGUCCCCUUCCGACGUACGCCUUGAAUUUGUUCUCUGCUGCCAAGCGCUACCACAAGGCCGCCUAAUCCAUCACGCUCUGCUUCGCUCUUAAACCUUUCCUGUUCAGUCUGUUCGUCUGCUCGCUCUAACAGACGCACACUUUGCCUUACUCAGCGUCAUGCUCUCAAUUUCUACACGAGAAGUCUGUCGUCGUCUCCGCAAUUCCUCCCGUCAACCCCUGUGACUUUUACUUCUCUUGACCCCGCUAUAUUCUUCCACCCCUUCCAUCUCUCUCAUGUCCUUUGCCCUGCUAAACCCAUAUUGCGGCCUCUGCUGAUUAAUCUCUUCCACACCCUCUUUGAGGAUGCCGACUGCUGAUUCUGCAGGUCACGGCCAUUUUUGCCUGCUUUAUGGGACUAUCUGUAUGGGCCCGUUCAUUAGUGAUGCCGAUCGAAUCUCGCCCUACCCUUGGACGCCAUCAUGCUGAUCAACCUCCACGACUCCCUUCGUGAUAUGAUAUUGAGGGAAAGUGGGAUUUAAGGCACUUUACCUUUCAAAGAGAUGGGCCUGAAGGAGUUGACUGGCCGUGGCGUGUAGAUCAGUCAAGGGCUAUUUUGCGAGGUAUUGGAAAAUUUUAAGAUGAUUUUCAUGAAUGUGGAUAAGAAUUUCUGAGCUGUGGUGUUCAAAUUUCUGUUGUCAUGGAAACUCAAUCUUCAACUAAACUGUAUGCAUCGCUGAACUAUUUUUCAUUAUGCAUAACGAAAUGAAGUUAACUGUUCAA